AGUGAACGCUGGCGGUAGGCCUAACACAUGCAAGUCGAGCGACAACAUAGUAAGAUUGUGCCCUUACGGGUAGCGACUGGCGGAUGAGUAAGGCAUACAUCGCAAUCUUCUUUGACUGGGGUGAUAACGGGGGACCACUGAUACUAAUACCGCAUAUGUCGAACCGCUUGAUUCAAUAGUUCUUCACGCCUUUGCUGAUUCUUAUAGCCGGUGCCGCAUUAGCUAGUUGGCGGGGUAAAGGCUCACCAAGGCGACGAUACGUAGCGUACCUGAGAGGAUGAUCGGCCACACUGGAACUGAGACACGGUCCAGACUCCUACGGGAGGCAGCAGUGGGGAAUAUUCGGCAAUGGGCGAAAGCCUGACCCAGCCACACCGCGUGGGUGAGGAAGGCCUUCGGGUUGUAAAGCUCUUUUAUUAGGGAAGAAGAGCUGCAGGUGAAAACACGGAUGUUCUGACGGUACCGAAAGAAAAAGCCCCGGCUAACUACGUG
rnacentral:rRNA from 1 species